GUGGGGAAUUUUGGACAAUGGGCGCAAGCCUGAUCCAGCCAUUCCGCGUGCAGGAUGAAGGCCUUCGGGUUGUAAACUGCUUUUGUACGGAACGAAAAGGUUCUCUCUAAUACAGGGGGCUGAUGACGGUACCGUAAGAAUAAGCACCGGCUAACUACGUGCCAGCAGCCGCGGUAAUACGUAGGGUGCAAGCGUUAAUCGGAAUUACUGGGCGUAAAGCGUGCGCAGGCGGUGAUGUAAGACAGAUGUGAAAUCCCCGGGCUCAACCUGGGAACUGCAUUUGUGACUGCAUUGCUGGAGUGCGGCAGAGGGGGAUGGAAUUCCGCGUGUAGCAGUGAAAUGCGUAGAUAUGCGGAGGAACACCGAUGGCGAAGGCAAUCCCCUGGGCCUGCACUGACGCUCAUGCACGAAAGCGUGGGGAGCAAACAGGAUUAGAAACCCCAGUAGUCC
rnacentral:rRNA from 1 species